GUGUGCCUGUCGCGGCGCUGCCGGUGUCCGGCCCGCUCGAUGUGAUCGGCGACGCGCCGGUCGGUGUGCUGAACAAUGAUCUGCAGGCGGCAUGUCUGGCGGCCUUGAAUAUCCCGCGCGAUAUCUGCCGCGAAUUCGCGGCAUCCCGAAGCUGGGGCGCAUGCGCGCAGGCCUUUAUCGACAACGUGACGCGGGAGCNNNNNCUGGCGUCGCCGUCUUGCCCGCCGGCUCCGGCUGACAUCGGAAUCCCUGCCAACCGCCUGA
rnacentral:misc_RNA from 1 species